rnacentral:rRNA from 1 species
CCUACGGGAGGCUGCAGUGGGGAAUAUUGCACAAUGGGGGGAACCCUGAUGCAGCGACGCCGCGUGAGUGAAGAAGUAUUUCGGUAUGUAAAGCUCUAUCAGCAGGGAAGAAAAUGACGGUACCUGACUAAGAAGCCCCGGCUAACUACGUGCCAGCAGCCGCGGUAAUACGUAGGGGGCAAGCGUUAUCCGGAUUUACUGGGUGUAAAGGGAGCGCAGACGGCUGUGCAAGUCUGGAGUGAAAGGCCGGGGCCCAACCCCCGGACUGCUCUGGAUACUGUAAAGCUGGAGUGCAGGAGAGGUAAGCGGAAUUACUAGUGUAGCGGUGAAAUGCGUAGAUAUUAGGAGGAACACCAGUGGCGAAGGCGGCUUACUGGACUGCAACUGACGUUGAGGCUCGAAAGCGUGGGGAGCAAACAGGAUUAGAUACCCGGGUAGUC